rnacentral:rRNA from 1 species
AGGAUGAACGCUGGCGGCGUGCCUAACACAUGCAAGUCGAACGUCCUGUCUCGCAAGAGGCAGGGAGUGGCGGACGGGUGAGUACCACGUGGGUCAUCUACCGUGAGGUGAGGAAUACCGGCGAGAAAUCGCCGACAAGACCGCAUAGCCUCGGUGCAAGCCGAGGAAAGCUCUCUCGAGAGAGGGAGCGCCACACGAGGAGCCUGCGCCCGAUUAGCUAGCUGGUGGAGUAACGGUUCACCAGGGCGACGAUCGGUAGCUGGUCUGAGAGGACGAUCAGCCACACUGGGAUUGAGAACGGCCCAGACUCCUACGGGGGGCAGCAGUGAGGAAUUUUCGUCAAUGGGGGCAACCCUGAACGAGCAACGCCGCGUGCAGGAAGAAGGUUUUCGGAUCGUAAACUGCUUUUCUCGGGGAAGAGAACGGACGGUACCCGAGGAAUCGAGCCCCGGCUAACUACGUGCCAGCAGCCGC